rnacentral:rRNA from 1 species
UGGGGAAUUUUGGACAAUGGGGGAAACCCUGAUCCAGCCAUCCCGCGUGUGCGAUGAAGGCCUUCGGGUUGUAAAGCACUUUUGGCAGGAAAGAAACGUCAUGGGUUAAUACCCCGUGAAACUGACGGUACCUGCAGAAUAAGCACCGGCUAACUACGUGCCAGCAGCCGCGGUAAUACGUAGGGUGCAAGCGUUAAUCGGAAUUACUGGGCUUAAAGCGUGCGCAGGCGGUUCGGAAAGAAAGAUGUGAAAUCCCAGAGCUCAACUUUGGAACUGCAUUUUUAACUACCGGGCUAGAGUGUGUCAGAGGGAGGUGGAAUUCCGCGUGUAGCAGUGAAAUGCGUAGAUAUGCGGAGGAACACCGAUGGCGAAGGCAGCCUCCUGGGAUAACACUGACGCUCAUGCACGAAAGCGUGGGGAGCAGACAGG